GACGAACGCUGGCGGCGCGCUUAACACAUGCAAGUCGAACGGUAAGGCCCUGAUUUUGUGGGGUGCUCGAGUGGCGAACGGGAGUGUAACACGAGAGUAACCUGCCCCUGACGUUGGGAUAACUUCAGGAAACGGGGGCUAAUACCGGAUAGGAGCUCCUGCUACAUGGUGGGGGAUGGAAAGUUUCGGCGGUUGGGAAUGGACUGGCGGCUUAUCAGCUUGUUUGUGGGGUAGUGGCGUACCAAGGCUUUGACGGGUAGCCGGCCUGGGAGGGUAGCCGGCCACAUUGGGACUGAGAUACGGCCCAGACUCCUACGGGAGGCAGCAGUGGAGAAUAGUGCACAAUGGGCUGAAGCCAGAUGCAGCGACGCCGCGUGCGGGAUGACGGCCUUCGGGUUGUAAACCGCUUUCGCCUGUUACGAAGCGUGAGUGACGGUAAUGGGUAAAAAAGCACCGGCUAACUACGUG
rnacentral:rRNA from 1 species